GCUCCCGCUGAAGAUAGGGGUUCGACCUCUAAAGUGUUAAAGGUAGGGUGAGCGAUAGAAUAGUAGUACUGUGAAGGAAAGUUGAAAAAGUACUUAUUCCCGAAAGAGUGAAAGGCGUUCAAAUAAGAAAAUGAACAAUCAGCGGGUUGUCGUGACAGGCAACCGCGUACCUUUUGUAUAAUGGGUCAGCAAGUCGGCCGCAAGAACUGUAGAGUCCUGCGGUUGCACCCGAAACCAAGUGAUCUAACCAACAGCAGAUUGAGGGGCGUGAGCCCUGAGGGUCCCACCCAUGCGCGUCGUAAAGCUCUGGGGAGACUGUUGGUUAGGGGUGAAAGGCUAAUCAAACUUGGUGAUGGCUGGUUUUCCACGAAAGCUAUUGAAGUAGCCU
rnacentral:rRNA from 1 species